GGCCAAAACCAACACACGUAAAAGAAGGAUAUCAUCUGGUGCUCAGAUUCAUAUACUUUGCCACAAUGUGAAAUGAUAUGAAAUGAAACAACCAUUAACUGCAAAAUAAACGACCAUUCGUAUCAUAUACCUACACUAAGGAAUACAUACAUACGAUCAGUUCUAGUUUCAAACAUUGUCGAAUAACCAAAGGCAAGACCCAUAACCGCUGAUUGAGUUUCAGAGAUCAUAGCAUGGAAAACACUCAAAUACUUCCUUUCUUGCAAUGCCCAUAACGUCAAAACAAACAACUUCAACACGUCGAAUAUCUUCAGCAAUAUACCCAUACCUCCAAACACUUCAGAUAAUCAAAUUAAUAAAAGCUCAGAAAGCUACACAAUUAAACUGGUGAAUGUUGCUUCAAUAUAUGGAACUUGAAAAGCUUCAAU
rnacentral:lncRNA from 1 species